rnacentral:rRNA from 1 species
UACGGGGGGGGGCAAGCGUUGUUCGGAAUUACUGGGCGUAAAGGGCUCGUAGGCGGCCAACUAAGUCAGACGUGAAAUCCCUCGGCUUAACCGGGGAACUGCGUCUGAUACUGGUUGGCUUGAAUCCGGGAGAGGGAUGUGGAAUUCCAGGUGUAGCGGUGAAAUGCGUAGAUAUCUGGAGGAACACCGGUGGCGAAGGCGGCAUCCUGGACCGGUAUUGACGCUGAGGCGCGAAAGCCAGGGGAGCAAACGGG